rnacentral:rRNA from 1 species
UGGGGAAUAUUGGACAAUGGGCGAAAGCCUGAUCCAGCCAUGCCGCGUGUGUGAAGAAGGUCUUCGGAUUGUAAAGCACUUUAAGUUGGGAGGAAGGGCAGUAAGCGAAUACCUUGCUGUUUUGACGUUACCGACAGAAUAGCACCGGCUAACUCUGUGCCAGCAGCCGCGGUAAUACAGAGGGUGCAAGCGUUAAUCGGAAUUACUGGGCGUAAAGCGCGCGUAGGUGGUUCGUUAAGUUGAAUGUGAAAGCCCCGGGCUCAACCUGGGAACUGCAUCCAAAACUGGCGAGCUAGAGUAGGGCAGAGGGUGGUGGAAUUUCCUGUGUAGCGGUGAAAUGCGUAGAUAUAGGAAGGAACACCAGUGGCGAAGGCGACCACCUGGGCUCAUACUGACACUGAGGUGCGAAAGCGUGGGGAGCAAACAGG